GAAAUAAAACUCAGUGAUUUAACUAAACUACUCUCUUUUAAACAGGACCCUCCACUUUUCCACCAGUUUGUCCACCGGUGAAAAGGAGAAGCCAGCCAAGAACCAGCAGCUUCUGGCUACCUUGAUCAGAAGGUUGAUGAAGGCAAUGAAACAAAGAUGGAAAAACACAUCACACAGGCCCUUACCAGAUGCCAGCAUCUUGAUAUUGGACUUCCCAGCCUUCAGAACUAUAAGGCUCCAGUCAAGCAACCCACCUUAUCAAGUGGACCAGGCACAGCUCCUACUUAUCCCUGAGUAGUGGGUAUCAGUUUCCUGCUAACCUCGGAAUUGUUCAAAGCCCAUCACAUUCUCCUGCAGGAACCAGGGAGCACCUCACCCUCUUGUUGCUACAAAGCUUGCCACCCACAGCCCCUGCCUGUUCAC
rnacentral:lncRNA from 10 species